rnacentral:miRNA from 14 species
GCCAUGGUGAGGAAGCCAGGGAGAGUGUAGUGUUACUGUGAGCCUGUCAGCAAAUAACACUGAAAACAUCAUGGGGCCUCACUUUCUCC